AGAGUUUGAUCCUGGCUCAGGACGAACGCUGGCGGCGUGCCUAACACAUGCAAGUCGAACGGAGCUAUUAGCAAUAUUAGCUUAGUGGCGGACGGGUGAGUAACGCGUGGGCAACCUGCCUUACAGAGGGGGAUAACAGUGCGAAAGCACUGCUAAUACCGCAUGACAUUGCGACUCCGCAUGGAGAUGCAAUCAAAGGAGUAAUCCGCUGUAAGAGGGGCCCGCGUCUGAUUAGCUAGUUGGUGAGGUAAAAGCUCACCAAGGCGACGAUCAGUAGCCGAUCUGAGAGGAUGAACGGCCACACUGGAACUGAGACACGGUCCAGACUCCUACGGGAGGCAGCAGUGGGGAAUAUUGCACAAUGGGGGAAACCCUGAUGCAGCAACGCCGCGUGGAGGACGAAGGCCUUCGGGUUGUAAACUCCUGUCUUUUGGGACGAAUAAUGACGGUACCAAAGGAGGAAGCCACGGCUAACUACGUGCCAGCAGCCGCGGUAAUACGUAGGUGGCAAGCGUUGUCCGGAAUUAUUGGGCGUAAAGGGCGCGUAGGCGGCUUUUUAAGUCAGAUGUGAAAACCCCGGGCUUAACCUGGGAACUGCAUCUGAUACUGGGAGGCUAGAGUGCAGGAGAGGUAAGUGGAAUUCCUAGUGUAGCGGUGAAAUGCGUAGAUAUUAGGAGGAACACCAGUGGCGAAGGCGACUUACUGGACUGUAACUGACGCUGAGGCGCGAAAGCGUGGGGAGCAAACAGGAUUAGAUACCCUGGUAGUCCACGCUGUAAACGAUGGAUACUAGGUGUGGG
rnacentral:rRNA from 1 species